rnacentral:rRNA from 1 species
UACGUAGGUGGCAAGCGUUGUCCGGAUUUAUUGGGCCUAAAGCAUCCGUAGCCGGCCUUACAAGUCCUCCGUUAAAUCCAGCUGCUUAACAGAUGGGCUGCGGAGGAUACUAUAAGACUAGGAGGCAGGAGAGGCAAGCGGUACUCAGUGGGUAGGGGUAAAAUCCGUUGAUCCAUUGAAGACCACCAGUGGCGAAGGCGGCUUGCCAGAAUGCGCUCGACGGUGAGGGAUGAAAGCUGGGGGAGCAAACCGG